AUGCUCACUUUGGCAGCACAUAUACUAAAAUUGGAACAAUACAGAGAAAAUUAGGAUGGCCCCCUGCACAAGGAAGGCACAAAUUUGUGAAGUGUUCAUGUCUUUA